rnacentral:tRNA from 1 species
GGCCUGGUAGCUCAGCUGGUAGAGCGUGCGCUGUAUAAAAGCGUAGGCGGCGCCCAUGCCUAGGUUCAAAUCCCACCGAGGCUA